AUUGAACGCUGGCGGCAUGCUUUACACAUGCAAGUCGAACGGUAACAGGCCUUCGGGUGCUGACGAGUGGCGAACGGGUGAGUAAUGCAUCGGAACGUACCCAGAGGUGGGGGAUAACGCAGCGAAAGCUGUGCUAAUACCGCAUGUGAUCUGAGGAUGAAAGCGGGGGACCGAGCAGCAAUGUUUGGCCUCGCGCCUUUGGAGCGGCCGAUGUCGGAUUAGCUAGUUGGUGGGGUAAAGGCCUACCAAGGCGACGAUCCGUAGCUGGUCUGAGAGGACGACCAGCCACACUGGGACUGAGACACGGCCCAGACUCCUACGGGAGGCAGCAGUGGGGAAUUUUGGACAGUGGGCGCGAGCCUGAUCCAGCAAUGCCGCGUGCGGGAAGAAGGCCUUCGGGUUGUAAACCGCUUUUGGCAGGAACGAAACGGUGUCCGCUAAUACCGGGCGCUAAUGACGGUACCUGCAGAAUAAGCACCGGCUAACUACGU
rnacentral:rRNA from 1 species